rnacentral:lncRNA from 1 species
AUGACCGCGGUCGGCCCGUCAGCCUCGGAGGUUUUGGACGUGAUCGGGGAGAUCAGGGUGUCGCUGCUCACCGACGAGCAGCUGAAGAACGGCAGCGAGAUCCGGCAGUGGUUCUCCGGGCGCCUGAGCGGGUUCCUGCCGUCGGCGUCGGGCAGGUUCCUGCGCUGCCUGAUCCACAGGAACCUCAGCUGCCACUCGUACCAGCACAUACUGCAGGUGUUUGUCCGCCAGUUCGACCACAUGACCUGGAAUCAGAAGCACGUGGUCGUGGCGGAGUUCGUCCUCCCUUUCCUGUCACGGCCUCGCUCAGGUCCCGGCUGUGUGAACGGCUCCGACAGCGCAGAGUGGCUCAAGACGAGUCUCGGUCCGUUUUCCAGGAUUUUGCCGCUCGGGGAGCUCCUGCGUCUCAACCCGCGAUUCAGCCCCCUGAAGGUCCUUCGACUCCUGACUCCGAAGCAGAGUGCCGAGCUGCUGCUGUCGACUCUUCCGGCGCUCCCAGGAAAAGAAGUGGUCAUCGACCGGUUGUUCGAUUCCCUGACGGAGGUUCGCGAGCAGGAGAAACUUCCAGAGUUCCUGUUCUUCCUCGUCAUGUUCCUUCCGCAGGGGAACCUGUCCUGCUCAGCAUACAAGACACUGUUUGACAGACUGGACGAGGCCAUGACCGAAGUUUCUCUCGAUGUGGCUUCAAAUAUCACCUACAGCAAGAUCGCCCUGUCCAGGCACAUACCACCAGGUGAGAGGCACCUUAUAUAA